GAUGAAGAACGUAGCGAAAUGCGAUAAGUAAUGUGAAUUGCAGAAUUCAGUGAAUCAUCGAAUCUUUGAACGCACAUUGCGCCCAUUAGUAUUCUAGUGGGCAUGCCUGUUCGAGCGUCAUUAAGUCCACUUAAGCCCUGCUUAGUGUUGGGAGACUGCUCCAGCGGUGCUACCCUGUAGCUACCCUGCAGCUCCUCAAAGACAGCGGCGGAGUUGUGGUAUCCUCUGAGCUUAGUAACUUGUUCUAGCUUUCGAGUACACCACUUCCCCUGCCGUAAAACCCUUAAUUUUUAAUGGUUGACCUCGGAUCAGGUAGGAAUACCCACUGAACUUAAGCAUAUCAAUAAGCGGAGGA
rnacentral:misc_RNA from 1 species